rnacentral:misc_RNA from 1 species
CAACCCUCAAGCGCUGUUCCGCUUGGAGUUGGGGCUCUUGCAGCGAGCACUCUGGUGCUUUGCAAGCUCCUAAAUUCAGCGGCGGGCCCGCCGGCACACCGAGCGCAGUAAUUUUACUUCUCGCUCAGGGCGUGCGGUGCGGCGCAGCCGACCUCUUGAAACUUUCCAA